CUUUACUGAGUAUGACAUGCUGGAAAAUAUUGCUCUUCUUAAUCAGCUCUUCAUAAUAUAGUUCUUUCUUUGUUGUUUCAGAUCCAAAGGUUAAUUGUCUGUUAAGAAAUAUAUUUGAUGGACAAUGCUUGCUGACUUCAAAUUCCAAGGGAAGAUGAUGGAUUCUCUUGUGACCUUUUCGGCCGUGCUUCAUUCAGAUUCUCGUCUCCAAACGUUCCAAUUGCCAGCAAUACAUGAGACCAGUUGCUGAAUUCUUUUGGAGAUCAUCCAAGCGAUGCAGAAAAUCCGGGUGGCUGCUCUGUUGAUGGAAGUGCAUGGAAGAAGAUGGACAAGGAAGAAAAGGACAUGAAAGACUGAGCUAUCACGCACGAAGAAGAUUUGAGGAAGAACAUCUCUUUUUUAUCAGAAAUAUAAAAUAAUAUAUAUGGAUGGCCAAUGGAAAGAGAAUCCUCCAAAAGCAGUAGCCUGGAUUUGUUUUGGACACGUGAAGCUGUCCAUAAUUCAUAUGGCGGGCGGUGGAAGCUUUAAACAAAACUGCAUAUAUCGGACCAUAAUCGAAUCAGGCUUUGCUUGUUUACAUGAAGGAGCAGGUGAGUAAUUAAUUGUAUAUAUACAAAAUAAUACCCCUUCUUGUGAAUGAUGACCCUACACUUUGAUGUCAUUCCUCCCUUCAAACAGUAUCCGAAGAAUUGUCUUGAGUGCGUUUGGGCACAAGUUGAGUUGAAUGAAGUGAUCUAUUAUACACCAUUCAGUGUUUGAACUUCUUGUUAUUAUAGAUGAUCAAGUUGGUUACAAUCAUAAAUGAUUAGCUAUAGUGAAAGACUAUUUGGAAAGCGUAUGAAGCUACAGAGAAACCCACAAUUAGCUACUAAAUACGAAUUAAUGUAACUUUGUUUUGUUUUUGUAUGUUUAAGUACUUGGAAAUAUUUUCACAUAAUUAUUUUGUUCAGUGAUUUUGGAAACG